UACAGAGGUGGCAAGCGUUGUUCGGAAUUACUGGGCGUAAAGGGCGCGUAGGCGGUCUUGUAAGUCUUGUGUGAAAUCCCUCGGCUUAACUGAGGAACUGCACGGGAUACUGCUUGACUUGAGAUCGGGAGAGGGAAGCGGAAUUCCGGGUGUAGAGGUGAAAUUCGUAGAUAUUCGCAAGAACACCAGUGGCGAAGGCGGCUCACUGGCCCGGUACUGACGCUGAGGUGCGAAAGCGUGGGGAGCAAACAGG
rnacentral:rRNA from 1 species